rnacentral:rRNA from 1 species
UAGGUGGCAAGCGUUAUCCGGAUUUACUGGGUGUAAAGGGCGAGUAGGCGGGAUUGCAAGUCAGAUGUGAAAACUAUGGGCCCAACCCAUAGACUGCAUUUGAAACUGUAGUUCUUGAGUGAUGGAGAGGCAGGCGGAAUUCCCGGUGUAGCGGUGGAAUGCGUAGAUAUCGGGAGGAACACCAGUGGCGAAGGCGGCCUGCUGGACAUUAACUGACGCUGAGGCGCGAAAGCGUGGGGAGCAAA